rnacentral:lncRNA from 1 species
AUGGGAGAACUAGGUCAGAGAUGACACGCUCAAGUGUUUUGGGGGAAAAAAGAAGACAUAACCAGUCUGUUCUUGACGUCAGAGAGUUUGAGUGUUGCUAUCAUAGCUGUCGGUGGAUUGUGUUAAUGAGUGUUGGUAUCAUAGUUGUUGGUGGAUUGUGUUAAUGAGUGUUGCUAUCAUAGUUGUUGGUGGAUUGUGUUAAUGAGUGUUGCUAUCAUAGCUGUCGGUGGAUUGGGGUAAUGAGUGUUGCUAUCAUAGCUGUCGGUGGAUUGUGUUAAUGAGUGUUGCUAUCAUAGCUGUCGGUGGAUUGUGUUAAUGAGUGUUGCUUUCAUAGCUGUCGGUGGAUUGUGUUGCUAUCAUAGCUGUCGGUGGAUUGUGUUGCUAUCAUACCUGUCGGUGGAUUGUGUUGCUAUCAUAGCUGUCGGUGGAUGGGGUUGGUAUCAUUGCUGUCGGUGGAUUGUGUUCAUGAUGUUGUAUCAUAGCUUGUCGGUGGAUUGGGUUAAUGAGUGUGGUAUCAUAGCGGUCGGUGUUGGGUUAUGAGUGUUGGUAUCAUAGCUUUCGGUGGAUUGGUUAUAGUGUUGGUAUCAUAGCUGUCGGUGGAUUGGUUAAUGAGUGUUGCUAUCAUAGUUGUUUGGUAUGAAUCUAGAAGAUAUCUGAUUGUCUCUCUCUCUCUCUCUCUCUGACUGCCAGACUCUGCGUUAAAGAUCAGGGAAGGGGCAGCACUCCUGGAGGAAUAGUUACCAGCUCCACUCCAGUCAGCUCUUCCAGUAUGAUGGCAGGUAAGUCAUCCAACACUGCAUUGGUCUUUGGGCUUUGGUCAAAGUAGUGCACUAUUAGGGUAUAAGGUGCAAUU